GACCAGAAGAUACAUUCAGAGCCAUGUCCAUGGCAGCUGGAGAUCUCUCUCCUCUCUCUAUUCAUCUAUCUACCUAUCUAUCGAUCUAAUGACUCCUGUAGGACUUAAUAGAUGCGGCUAAGAUAGAAGAACUACUUGAGGCCAAAUCUCCCCAGAGGAGAAGCAAAGCAUUCUCAAUCCCCAUUCCAUCCUAUGCAACAAGUAUUUCUCCAUAUUUCUCAACCCCAACACACUGAAUUCCACUAACAUCCAUCUUCAUGUAGCCUAGAUGAUUUCUACCCGUCGGUGGUGGUCAGCUUCAACGACGAAGCUGCUGUCUGGCUUCACCGGUGUUAAUGACUGUAACACCCACCAGCCG
rnacentral:lncRNA from 1 species